rnacentral:rRNA from 1 species
UCAGGCGGGACUACCCGCUGAGUUUAAGCAUAUCAAUAAGCGGAGGAAAAGAAACUAACUAGGAUUCCCUUAGUAGCGGCGAGCGAACCGGGAUCAGCCCAACUUGUAAAUCAUUAGCCCCUGGCUAAUUGAAUUGUAGUCUCAAGAUGCGAUCUCUGCAGCUAGCAGUGCCCAAUUUUCCUUGGGAAAGGGAGUCAGAGAGGGUGAGAACCCCGUCGGCACUUGCCUCAGCUGCUCCAUGAGGCGUUUUCUCAGAGUCGGGUUGCUUGGGAAUGCAGCCCUAAGUAGGUGGUAAAUCCCAUCUAAGGCUAAAUACUGACGGGAGACCGAUAGCGAACAAGUACCGUGAGGGAAAGAUGAAAAGAACUUUGAAAAGAGAGUCAAAAGUGCUUGAAAUUGUUGAGGGGGAAGGAAUUGGAAGCCGUUUGUGCGCCUG